AAUCAACGCUGGCGGCGUGCCUCAGACAUGCAAGUCGAACGAUUAAAGCUCUCUUCGGAGAGUGCAUAGAGUGGCGCACGGGUGAGUAACACGUAAGUAAUCUACCUUCGAGUGGGGAAUAACAGUCGGAAACGACUGCUAAUACCGCAUAAUGCAGCGGCAUCGCAAGAUGACAGUUGUUAAAGGAGCAAUUCGCUUGAAGAGAAGCUGCGGCAGAUUAGCUUGUUGGUAAGGUAACGGCUUACCAAGGCUACGAUCUGUAACCGGUCUAAGAGGACGGUCGGUCACACUGACACUGAAUAACGGGUCAGACUCCUACGGGAGGCAGCAGUCGGGAAUUUUGGGCAAUGGGCGAAAGCCUGACCCAGCAACGCCGCGUGAAGGAUGAAGUAUUUCGGUAUGUAAACUUACG
rnacentral:rRNA from 1 species